GGAGAGAUCGCAUAGUGGCCUAGUGCACACGGUUGGAAAGCGUGCAUACCGCAAGGUAUCGCGAGUUCGAAUCUCGCUCUCUCCGCCA
rnacentral:tRNA from 1 species